AUUCAGGGCCCAGCCUGUGGAUCCCACAUGCUGCUCAUGGAAAUGCCCUCCUACACACACCAGGUCCCUGGUGGUCACAGUCAAAUAAACACUGAAGAAGAACCUUCACAGCAGCCUGCAGAAAUGACGGUGGAGACUGUGGUUUGUUCCUUUGAAAAUUCAUGUUGAAAUUUGACGGCUAACCAGCUAACCAUCAAAGGACACAGGGAUCACGGCACCGCAGGACGAAGGUGCUGUGAACAGCAAAAAGAAGUCGCUUGACUUUAGCAACGUCUUCGAAUGUUUCAGUACCUUCUGCAGCGAUGAUCCUGCACCUGACCACUCUGCAUAUAGCGUACACUGUGAAGGGCCUGGGUGGAAUGGCUCUCUCCCCUAGGGACCAGUGAGAAUCGCUGCCCCAGCCUGAUGCUUCUGGGCUUGUAGGACCUGGAGUGGUGUCCCCGUAGCAUUGAACUAGCCUGUGCCGCCUGUGCAGCUUGGCAGAUCCUAGCCCUAAGUGCUGGUGAUGGAACCCAGGGUCUCACCUGCAGGACAAGAGCCCUGCUGCCUAGAAUGUAAUGAGAUCUGAUGCCCUCUUCUGGUGUGUCUGAAGACAGACACAGUGUAUGAGCAUACAUAAAAUAAAUAAAAUCUUUGAAAAAAGAAAAAGAAA